UACGGGGGGAGCAAGCGUUGUUCGGAUUUACUGGGCGUAAAGGGCGGGUAGGCGGCCACCGCAAGUCAGUUGUGAAAUCUCCGGGCUUAACCCGGAAAGGUCAACUGAUACUGCGGGGCUAGAGUGCAGAAGGGGCAACUGGAAUUCUCGGUGUAGCGGUGAAAUGCGUAGAUAUCGAGAGGAACGCCUGCGGCGAAGGCGGGUUGCUGGGCUGACACUGACGCUGAGGCGCGAAAGCUAGGGGAGCGAACGGG
rnacentral:rRNA from 1 species